UACGUAGGGUGCAGGCGUUAAUCGGAAUUACUGGGCGUAAAGCGUGCGCAGGCGGUUUGCUAAGACAGGUGUGAAAUCCCCGGGCUUAACCUGGGAACUGCGCUUGUAACUAGCAGGCUAGAGUGUGGCAGAGGGGGGGUGGAAUUCCACGUGUAGCAGUGAAAUGCGUAGAGAUGUGGAGGAACACCGAUGGCGAAGGCAGCCCCCUGGGCUAACACUGACGCUCAUGCACGAAAGCGUGGGGAGC
rnacentral:rRNA from 1 species